rnacentral:rRNA from 1 species
CCGAUAGCUACGUUGUCGCAAUACUGGGCGUAAGAGUACGUAGGCGGUGAUUCAAGUCAGAGGUGAAAGCCUGGAGCUCAACUCCAGAACUGCCUUCGAAACUAGAUCGCUAGAAUCAUGGAGAGGUUAGUGGAAUUCCGAGUGUAGAGGUGAAAUUCGUAGAUAUUCGGAAGAACACCAGUGGCGAAGGCGACUAACUGGACAUGUAUUGACGCUGAGGUACGAAAGCGUGGGGAGCAAACAGGAUUAGAUACCCUGGNUAGUCCACGCCGUAAACGAUGAUAACUAGCUGUUCGGUCUCUCAGAGACUGAGUGGCGCAGCUAACGCAUUAAGUUAUCCGCCUGGGGAGUACGGUCGCAAGAUUAAAACUCAAAGGAAUUGACGGGGGCCUGCACAAGCGGUGGAGCAUGUGGUUUAAUUCGAAGCAACGCGCAGAACCUUACCAGCGUUUGACAUCCUAAUCGCGGUUUUCAGAGAUGAUGACCUUCAGGUUCGGGGUGGAUUAGUGACAGGGUACCUGCAUGGCUGUAGUCAGCUCAGUGUCGUGAGAUCGUGGGUUAAGUCCCGCAAGCGAGGGCAACCCUCGUCCUUAGUUGCCAUCAUUCAGUUGGGCACUCUAACGGAGACUGCCGGUGAUAAGCCGGAGGAAGCUGGGGAUGACGUCAAGUCCUCAUGGCCCUUACACGCUGGGCUACACACGUGCUACAAUGGCGGUGACAGUGGGCAGCAAUCCGGGCGACCGGUAGCUAAUCUCCAAGAACCGUCUCAGUUCGGAUUGUUCUCUGCAACCUCGAGAGCAUGAAGGCGGAAUCGAUAGUAAUCGCGGAUCAGCAUGCCGCGGUGAAUACGUUACCCAGGCCUUGUACACACCGCCCGUCACAGCCAUGGGAUUUGGAUUCACCCGAAGGCGUUGCGCUAACUCGCCAGAGAGGACGGCGCCGCCUGGUUAGAAAGAGG